CCUGCAAAGGGUUUUCCACGUAAAUCUGUGUCUCUUUAUUUUUCUGCUUGUGGUUUGAUUUUUUUUUGUGUUCGUCAUUUCGUUUCCGUUUGUGCGUUUGUCGUAACAAUACAUAUACCUAUAUAUUAUUUUUCUUAAAUUUUUGCUACGUGGUGAAUCCUCUUUCACCGUUGGCUUUCAUCUUUCUAUUCCCAUAUCCAUCCAAUACUUCAUCUUUUUGACUCCACCUCUCAAUUAAUGUAUUUAUAUAGUUCCAUCUUUAUCCAAUGCUUUAUCUUCCUAACCCUCACCUCUUUACAUGAUCCUAUUUCAAUCCAAUGCUUUAUCUUUCUAACCCCCACUUCUUAGUAACGUGUUUACAUUGUUUCAUCUCGAAUCCAAUGCUUCAUUUUUCUAAUUUCUACCUCUCAAUUGCUUUCAUAAGAACAAAUGAGUAAAAUAAAAUUUCUUCAUAUUUCGAUGUCGAUUGUGCGAUGAAGGUGUGUAUGAGGUAGAAAUUUUUUUAUUACUUUUUUCAUUAUUAUUAUAUGUGAUUUAUUUAUCAAAAUUAUAAAUUUUGCUAUAUCUAUAUCUAUAUUUGUUUUAUAUUUUAUAUUUGUGUUUAUUGAAGUCUCAUGUCAAAUCAAAAAAUUUAAAGCUUUUAUUUUAUUUAUAUUUUAUCUUUUAUAGUAU
rnacentral:lncRNA from 1 species